UACGUAGGGGGCAAGCGUUGUCCGGAAUAAUUGGGCGUAAAGGGCGCGUAGGCGGCAAGGCAAGUCAGCAGUGGAAGUCCCAUUUUCAAGGUGGGGAGGGCUGUUGAUCUGGAAUGCGGUUGGGGAAGACAGAAUUCCUGGUGUAGCGGUAGAAUGCGCAGAGAUCAGGAGGAAUACCGAAGGCGAAGGCAGUCUUCCAAGCCGUUAUUGACGCUCAACUGCGAAGGUGUGGGUAUCAAACAGGAUUAGAUACCCUGGUAGUCCCUGAG
rnacentral:rRNA from 1 species